AUUGAACGCUGGCGGCAGGCCUAACACAUGCAAGUCGAGCGGAGCGGCGGACGGGUGAGUAAUGCCUAGGAAUCUGCCUGUUAGUGGGGGAUAACGUCCGGAAACGGGCGCUAAUACCGCAUACUAUCAGAUGAGCCUAGGUCGGAUGAGCGAGUUGGGGGGGUAAAGGCCUAACAAGGCGACGAUCCGUAACUGGUCUGAGAGGCUGAUCAGUAAGAGUGGAACGGAGACAAGGUCCAGACUCCGACGGGAGGCAGAAGUGGGGAAUAUUGGACAAUGGGCGAAAGCCUGAUCCAGCCAUGCCGCGUGUGUGAAGAAGGUCUUCGGAGUGUAAAGCACUUUAAGUUGGGAGGCGUUACCAACAGAAUAAGCACCGGCUAACUUCGUGCCAGCAGCCGCGGUAAUUC
rnacentral:rRNA from 1 species